rnacentral:rRNA from 1 species
UAGAGGAAGUAAAAGUCGUAACAAGGUUUCCGUAGGUGAACCUGCGGAAGGAUCAUUAAAAGUAAAUGUGUUCUUAGGAAUAUGCAUUUCAAACCCAUCAGUGUAUUCUACCUGUUGCUUCCGUACUGCGUGGACUGCGGUCCCCUCUUGCCGUACCCUGGGUACGGUUCAUGAGUGUCGGUAUGGAGGGUAUACAUCAAACUCUUGCAUUUCGUGUCAUCCGUCUGAACUGUUUAUAAAAACAAGUUAAAACUUUCAACAACGGAUCUCUUGGUUCUCGCAUCGAUGAAGAACGCAGCGAAAUGCGAUAAGUAGUGUGAAUUGCAGAAUUCAGUGAAUCAUCGAAUCUUUGAACGCACAUUGCGCCUCCUUGUAUUCAGGGAGGCAUGCCUGUCCGAGCGUCAUUUAAAACCACUCAAGCUUGUUGUGCUUGGUCAUGGAAGAAGAGUCCGCUUGUCCGGUCUCCCUUCCGAAAUGCAAUGGCGGAAGGUCUCUGGUACCCGGCGUAGUAAUAACUGUUCGCCUUGUGUCUCGAGAUGUUUCUGCCGUCAAACCCCCAAUUCUUCUUAGGUUGACCUCGGAUCAGGUAGGGAUACCCGCUGAACUUAAGCAUAUCAAUA